rnacentral:lncRNA from 1 species
GGAAAACGUGUUCUCAAAAGCUCAGUGAUGUUGAUCCUGGGAAUAAAAGUAUUAAUGUUUAGUAAUAUUCUUUCCAUUUAGAUCUACAGAGUUGGAUUCUAACUGGUCGUGGUUUCAGUUGCGAUGCAUGCAAGUUGGAGGAAACGCCAAUGCAUCUUCCUUUUUUCAUCAACAUGGGUGUGCCACCAAUGACACCAAUGCCAAGUACAACAGUCGCGCUGCUCAGCUCUAUAGGGAGAAAAUCAGAUCACUCGCUUCCCAAGCAACACGGAAGCACGGCACUGACCUGUGGCUUGAGAGUUGUGUGGUUCCACCUUCGUCCCCUCCACCAAAGGAGGAAGAUUUUUUUGCCUCUCAUGUUUCUCCUGAGGCGAGUGACGCAGCGUGGGCAUCAGCAAUAGCAGAGCCAGCUUCCUUGACAUCAAGGCCUGCGGAAACCACUUCAGAAAAUAACGAAGAGGUUUCCUCUAUCAUAAAAAAGAAACCAAAUCAAGCUAAAAAAGGCGUGAGUAUUCUGUACUUUAUAUAUAAAAUACCUGGUAGUUAAAGUUUAAAACUAAAAAGCCACUUUGUCAUUUUAAUUUUAUUCUUUUGAACCAUCUUAUGAUAAAUGUGGCUUUGAUAUAAGGAGUGUAUGUUUUGUUCAGAGAGAUUAAUGUUAUACUUAGCAAAUUUUUUUUAGAAUGAUUAUUUAACUUUUUUUCUAUGACAAAAUUCUGAAAAAAAUUAACAAAGGUCCCCUGGGGAUUUCUCUCCUGCUCGUGUGAUUCAAAAAGCAAUGAUGUCUCGUGAGGCUUAGAGGGUAGUCCUCUGGUGAGCUUUCAGAUACAGUGAUGUGUUGCAGAGCACUAGCUCUGGAGGCAGGUGCAGAGUUUGAAUCCUGGCCUUGCCAUUUAUUGGCUGUGUGAUCCUGGUCAUGUUGCUUAACUUCUAUGAGCUUUAUUUUCCUCAGCCCUCUGUAUCCAGGGGUUUUGCAUUCAUGGAUUUAACCAACUGCAGAUCAGAAAUAUUUGGGGGUGAGGGGGAACAAUAGACCAAGUGUAGUGACUCACACCUGUAAUCCCAGCACUUUGGGAGGCCGAGGCAGGUGGAUCACGUGAGCUC